rnacentral:lncRNA from 1 species
CCCCGGACGCUCUCAUUGAGAAACUCCAUCACCAAGAUUCUGUCAGAAGCCGGUGAGUCCCUGGAGGAGGAGUGGGACUCCAUCUCCAACCUGGCUACCACCUGCAACAGCAUCCUAGAGGCGCUCUCGAAGGAAGCAGGGCAACACGUGCUGGAGAGCAGAGAGCCCCCUGGUGGGAGUGGCCAGAGGAACCCAGGCCAGCAGCCCUCCGAGGAUGAAGGACAUCAGUCCCGGUCACUGUCGGAGAAGGUCUCUC